GACGAACGCUGGCGGCGUGCUUAACACAUGCAAGUCGAACGGCAAGGCCCUGCUUUUGUGGGGUGCUCGAGUGGCGAACGGGUGAGUAACACGUGAGUAACCUGCCCUUGACUUUGGGAUAACUUCAGGAAACUGGGGCUAAUACCGGAUAGGAGCUCCUGCUGCAUGGUGGGGGUUGGAAAGUUUCGGCGGUUGGGGAUGGACGCGCGGCUUAUCAGCUUGUUUGUGGGGUAGUGGCUUACCAAGGCUUCGACGGGUAGCCGGCCUGCGAGGGUGACCGGCCACAUUGGGACUGAGAUACGGCCCAGACUCCUACGGGAGGCAGCAGUGGGGAAUAUUGCACAAUGGGCGGAAGCCUGAUGCAGCAACGCCGCGUGCGGGAUGACGGCCUUCGGGUUGUAAACCGCUUUCGCCUGUGACGAAGCGUGAGUGACGGUAAUUGGUAAAGAAGCACCGGCUAACUACGUG
rnacentral:rRNA from 1 species